GUCUCGAUCUCCUGACCUCGUGAUCUGCCCACCUCGGCCUCCCCAAGUGCUGGGAUUACGGGCGUGAGCCACUGCGCCCGGCCUCAGAAUGCAAUUUUUUUAAUCUUUAUUUUUGAAUAUUUGCAGUGUACUUUCCAUUUCAGCAUCCUUGUUUGUCUGUUUUUUGAGACAAGGUCUCACUCCCAUUGCCCAAGCUGGAGUGUGGUGGUGCAGUCACGGCUCAGUCCAGUUUCAGCUUCCUGGGUUCAGGCGAUCCUCCCGCCUGGGCCUCCUGAGUGGCUGGGACUACAGGUGCACACCACCACACUUGGUUUAUUUUUAGUAGAGACAGGAUUUUGCCAAGUUGCCUAGGCUGGUCUCCAACUCCUGGGCUCAAGUGAGCCUCCCACUUCGACCCCCCAAAGUGUUGGGAUGAGACACUGUGCCCCGCCCUGCAUUCCUAAUUCAAAAAUUUGAAGUCCAAAAUGCUCCAAUGAAUAUUUCCUUUGAGCAUCGUGUCAACACUCAAAGUUUCGGAUUUUAGAUUACUGAGUUUUCAGAUUAGGAAUACUCAACCUGGAUAAGUCAGUUUUCUUUGGCUGCUUUCCAGGUUAAAAAAAAAAUGUCUUUUCUUUAGUUUAUUGCCUCAACAUGGUUUUCCUUGAGAUGAUCUUAUUGGAAUUCACU
rnacentral:lncRNA from 1 species